CAGUAGCCACGGGAAUACGGAGGGUGCAAGCGUUAAUCGGAAUUACUGGGCGUAAAGCGUGCGUAGGUGGUGGUUUAAGUCCGUUGUGAAAGCCCUGGGCUCAACCUGGGAAUUGCAGUGGAUACUGGGUCACUAGAGUGUGGUAGAGGAUAGUGGAAUUUCCGGUGUAGCAGUGAAAUGCGUAGAGAUCGGAAGGAACAUCUGUGGCGAAGGCGACUAUCUGGGCCAACACUGACACUGAGGCACGAAAGCGUGGGGAGCAAACAGGAUUAGAGACCCCCGUAGUCCCUGUCUCUUAUAC
rnacentral:rRNA from 1 species